rnacentral:rRNA from 1 species
UACGUAGGGGGCAAGCGUUGUCCGGAAUCAUUGGGCGUAAAGCGCGCGUAGGCGGCCCUGUAAGUCCGCUGUAAAAGUCAAAGGCUCAACCUUUGAAAGCCGGUGGAUACUGCAGGGCUAGAGUCCGGAAGAGGCGAGUGGAACUCCUGGUGUAGCGGUGGAAUGCGCAGAUAUCAGGAAGAACACCAACGGCGAAGGCAGCUCGCUGGGACGGUACUGACGCUGAGACGCGAAAGCGUGGGGAGCGAACAGG